rnacentral:rRNA from 1 species
UACGUAGGGUGCAAGCGUUAAUCGGAAUUACUGGGCGUAAAGCGUGCGCAGGCGUCUUGCAAGACAGAUGUGAAAUCCCCAGGCUUAACCUGGGAACUGCAUUUGUGACUGCAAGGCUGGAGUGCGGCAGAGGGGGAUGGAAUUCCGCGUGUAGCAGUGAAAUGCGUAGAGAUGCGGCGGAACACCGAUGGCGAAGGCAGCCCCUGGGCUUAAAUUGACGCUGAGGCACGAAAGCGUGGGGAGCAAACAGG